rnacentral:rRNA from 1 species
GAAAGGCGCUUUCGGGUGUCGCUGAUGGAUGGACCCGCGGUGCAUUAGCUAGUUGGUGAGGUAACGGCUCACCAAGGCGACGAUGCAUAGCCGACCUGAGAGGGUGAUCGGCCACAUUGGGACUGAGACACGGCCCAAACUCCUACGGGAGGCAGCAGUAGGGAAUCUUCGGCAAUGGACGAAAGUCUGACCGAGCAACGCCGCGUGAGUGAAGAAGGUUUUCGGAUCGUAAAACUCUGUUGUUAGAGAAGAACAAGGAUGAGAGUAACUGUUCAUCCCUUGACGGUAUCUAACCAGAAAGCCACGGCUAACUACGUGCCAGCAGCCGCGGUAAUACGUAGGUGGCAAGCGUUGUCCGGAUUUAUUGGGCGUAAAGCGAGCGCAGGCGGUUUCUUAAGUCUGAUGUGAAAGCCCCCGGCUCAACCGGGGAGGGUCAUUGGAAACUGGGAGACUUGAGUGCAGAAGAGGAGAGUGGAAUUCCAUGUGUAGCGGUGAGAUGCGUAGAUAUAUGGAGGAACACCAGUGGCGAAGGCGGCUCUCUGGUCUGUAACUGACGCUGAGGCUCGAAAGCGUGGGGAGCAAACAGGAUUAGAUACCCUGGUAGUCCACGCCGUAAACGAUGAGUGCUAAGUGUUGGAGGGUUUCCGCCCUUCA